GGGUGCGAUCAUACCAUCAGAAAUCCGCAACUAAGCGUGCUAUGGCAAGAGUAGUACUAGGAUGGUUGACCUCUUGGGAAGUUCUCGUGUUGCAUCCC
rnacentral:rRNA from 1 species